AUUUUCAUGGAAGUCAAGAAUCCGGGAAAAUUCAAGUGGAAAAAGACAGACCGGAUCCGAUAUCCGGAGAAAAACGUGGUGAGUAUACUGAAAAUAUUUGGAGGAAAUGGGUGGUCGGUCGGACUGAGACGAGAAGGGAAGGGUUUUGAGGAAGGAGAGAGAGAGAAGAGAGGCUGCCAAGGCAAGGAAAAGUCUUAGAUGAGUACGAAUCCGAUGCCAAUUACAGGUUCUUGUUUGAUUGCAUUGUUGAUUUCUUUUCUGAUCUUCUGAAAUCCGAUGUGACAGAUUUUACAUCACCACCAAAAUUUUGAUGAAUACCAGUAUUACUACCAGCUUGAAUGUCUGUCCAGGUGAGUAUGAUGAUAUACAUAAUGUUACGGCGGUGCUCAGUUUGUGAAAGUUCGAAGAAAAGGAUCAGAGAUCAUGGGAAGGUUGACAAUGUGUUCCUAAGCAAGAGUGACUGCCCAGUAAUGAUCAUGUUCAUCAAGGAUUCUGCAGGCUUGAUAAAGAAUAUAUGGGUCUUUUGUGGGAUCAAUUUAAAUGUAGUCGUUAGGGACAUAUAUGUAUGAUAUGGUCAUCUUAAACCAGCGCAGUUCAUCAAGGGAUCAGAUUCAAGAUUCUCGCAAAACCAAAGGUAAACCCCAAUACUUCCCAAAA